rnacentral:rRNA from 1 species
AUGGAUGAGGACAAGGACAAGGAAUAUGAGGAGCAGAAUCUGUUUGUGGUUCCGCCAUUGCAAGCGGGUGCUGAUAUGUCGGAUGAUGAUACAUCAGAGGGGUAUAAGGAAUCAGCAGAUGAACUGGAAGGUGACACUAUGUCCGAGGAAUCACUUGUGCAUGUUGUCUCUAGUGAGGAGGAGGCAAGAGAAAGGAAAAGGAAAAAGAACAAGAGGCCAAGAGCCAAUGCUCCCGUUAGGACGUCAUCCAAUGUUUGGGCCCAUUUUCACAAGGUCAAGGAGCCAGAUGAGAAGACUGGAGAGAUUGUGUUGAAGGCUGUUUGUAAUUAUUGUAUUGAUAAGAAGUAUGCGUAUACGCAAGGUGGCAGCACCUCAACUAUUGGAAGGCAUCAUUUAAAAUGUAAGAAUUACAAGGCCAAGAUGGCUAGGGAUGCCAUCCAAACAACUCUGGAAUUGCGCAAAAUCAAUGGUACAGCAAGUGGUCCAACAAUGCACCCCUCUAUUGAGUAUGACCAAGGAAUUGUGAAGGAGCUUAUUGCUAAGAUGAUAUGUGUGCAUGAGUAUUCAUUUAGAAUGGUUGAACAUGAGUGGUUCAGCAUUCUAAUGAAGUGCAUGAAUCCAAAUUAUAAACCCAUUGGAAGGAAGGCAAUACGAGCCGAGUGCAUGAGGGUCUACAAGAAAGAAAAAGAGGUGCUUAAAUCUGUCCUAAAGGGUGUGAGCUCCAUAUGUCUAACUACAGAUUUGUGGACAAGCAACCAAACCUUAUCUUACAUGUGUGUGGUUGCACACUACAUAGAUGGGAAUUGGAAUAUGCAAACCCGUGUUCUUGCUUUCAUAGAGUUGGACCCUCCUCACUCUGGAAAUGUCAUUGCGGAUGCUCUCUAUGCUUGUGUGACAGAAUGGAAUAUUGAGACCAAAAUAAUGUCCGUCACACUUGACAACGCUUCAAACAAUGAUGGUGCAGUCGAUGCUUUGAAGGCCAAGUUCUCGUUUCGGAGAGGUAAUGACUUCGAAGGACAGUAUUUUCAUAUCCGUUGUUGUGCACACAUCCUCAACUUGGUCGUGCAAGAUGGGACGGAGGUCUUAGAUAAUUUGAUAAACAGCUUGAGAGAGACGGUGAAGUACUUCAAGAGGUCACCUUCUCGUCUCCAUGCUUUUGUUGCCACUUGCAAAAGCUUGGGUGUCAAAGUUGGUAAUCAUUUACACCUGGAUUGUAAAACAAGGUGGAGUUCAACCUAUAAGAUGAUUAGCAUUGCCCGUGAUUAUAAGGAAGCCUUGACCUCUCAUGCCGGUUCCAAUGCCAACUAUGCUUGGGCGCCGACAAACGCAGAGUGGGACAUGUAUGACCUUAUCUCUCCAUUACUUGAGAGUUUGGCUGAGGUGACAAAUGCAUUUUCAGGAAGUUUAUAUCCCACUUCGAACAUCUUCUAUCCAUACAUUGUUGGUGUCAAGCUUGCAAUCAAACGUGCAAUGACUAGUGAUAGUGACCACUACAAGGAAAUGGGUGAAGCAAUGUUGGAGAAGUUUGACAAAUAUUGGGAAGAAAAGAACAAUGCCAUGGUGAUCGCAACCGUCUUUGAUCCACGGUACAAGAUGAAUUACAUAGAGUGGGCCUUUGGAGAACUAUAUGGAGUAGGAAGUACGAGGUGUAGGACUGAGAUGAAAAUCGUGGAGAAAGAGUUGGCGACCUUGUAUGACAAAUGUGUUUCCCAAGAUAAGCGAGCUGGAAAUGGAGAAAGUGUAUCUUCCUCUAUAAACAUUCCUAGUAUCCCGGUUCAAGCUGGGUAUGAGUCCUUCUUAUCGUCCCGUUCAACAAGAAUAUCAAAAAGUGAGUUGAGGAACUACUUAGAGGAUGCGGUUGAACCUCGCAACAAGGCUCUUGAUCUUCUUGGUUGGUGGAAAGUCAAUGCUCCUAGGUACCCAAUUAUGGCCAAGAUAGCCAGGAGGUUCCUUACUAUCCCGGCUACCUCCGUGUCUUCAGAAUCUACCUUCAGCACGACCGGAAGGAUUUUAGAUGACUACAGGAGUUCGUUAAAACCGGUUAUGGUGGAGGCAUUAGUUUGUGGUGCAAGUUAUAUAAAGGGUGCUCACGUUGACUUGAAUCUGGUGCCGAGGGAUGAGAAUGAAGAGGAUGAUGUUGAAACCAUCAAGUUACCCAUCGUGGAGGAGAUCAACGAUUGA